rnacentral:rRNA from 1 species
AUUGAACGCUGGCGGCAUGCUUUACACAUGCAAGUCGAACGGCAGCGCGGGGCAACCUGGCGGCGAGUGGCGAACGGGUGAGUAAUAUAUCGGAACGUACCCAGAAGUGGGGGAUAACGUAGCGAAAGUUACGCUAAUACCGCAUACGAUCUACGGAUGAAAGUAGGGGACCGCAAGGCCUUAUGCUUUUGGAGCGGCCGAUAUCUGAUUAGCUAGUUGGUGAGGUAAAGGCUCACCAAGGCGACGAUCAGUAGCUGGUCUGAGAGGACGACCAGCCACACGGGAACUGAGAAACGGUCAAAACCCCCAGGGGAGGCAGGAGGGGGGAAUUUUGGACAAGGGGGGAAAGCCUGACCCAGAAAGGCCGGGGGAGUGAAGAAGGCCUUCGGGUUGUAAAGCUUUUUUGUCAGGGAAAAAAGGGGAGAGGCUAAAAUCCUUUGCUAAGGACGGUACCGGAAGAAUAAGCACCGGCUAACUACGG